AUGUUAGAAACUUCCAUCUCUGGUGACACCUUUCAAAUCCACGGUCAGAGAUCGUGGUCCUCCACUUACGCAAACAUGACCACUCUUUUCUCGCCAGUGUGUCUUCUCUUUCUGUCUCCUGUUAGGUUCACGGAGAAGGAGGUUCAUGUUCACCGGGACUUUCACCACUCUUCACAGCUGUCUCCUCUCUGGUCGCUGAUCCGAGCUCUUUUCCCUGCACAUCUGACAGAGCAAUGUCAGAAGUCUUUGGACUGGACAAAAAAACAAACAAACAAAAAAAAAAUAGGAGAGCACUCACACUGCACAAAGAUAGAGUGAUCAACUGUGGACAUAACCCAAAACCUUUGGAGAGUUGACUGCAAAGAGAGGUGUUCUGUUUGUCGUUCUGCACUCAACAGAAUCUUGCCAGGUGACUGCCAGGUACUUCCAGCCUCACAGGCCCCACGGGAGGAUGGGGAGUUCUCAGCCCCUCUUGUACAUGGCUCCCUUGCUGACCGGCCAGCCCCUAACUGGCCUCUUUCUGUCUGAAGGAGGUGCUGAGUCUCUGGGCUGUGCUCUCUGCCGCUCGCCGCAGCCUCUGUCCAUCCACCCCCCUGAAGCCAUGCUCUGUGCUCUUGGACCCAAAGCGGAGACCUCCAGGUGCUGAAUCACUUCCUGUGAAAGAAGAGGGGACCUCAGCCACCUCUUGGAGCAGGAAGGGCUGGGAGGGGACAUUCAGGCCCAGCAUGGUUCUGUUGAAGGAUAAAGGAAACCCAGGCUUAAUGAAAGUUAAAGACUUAUCCACUGGACGCCCAGAUUACAGCUGUACACUCCGGUCACCUGGGCACAGCUACAGUGCCAUGCCUGGACCGAUUAAAUCUGAAUCAAUAGAGGUGGGACCCAGGCAUCGAUAGCUGGUACCCAAGGCUAUAUGCCAUGGCAUUGUAGCGAGGAGCCCCCACGUGAACACAAAGGCCUGGGUUCACAGUCUUCCGGCACCCAAGCCGUAUGCAGGAAGUUCUGAUGUAAUUGGCUGUGCUUCAGGAUCAUUCACAAUUCCCAGAUAGUUCCAAUGUGCAGCUGAAUUUGAGAGCCACUGUGUUCAGUGUGGCCUCUUAAUGUGAAAACACCGUGUACUCUUGAGGGAAAAUGUAAGAUUUAAUUGAGCAAAAAAAAAAAAAUGUACCUGUUCAAGUUGGGGUGCACUCCACUGCCUGUUAAUCUGUAUGCACGUUCCAAGACACAGAAGCACCUGUAGUUGUGGGAACAUGAAUCCAUGAUUUUGCCUUUACACGUAGGUGUCAUUAGACUUGCUUGUGUCGAGCGAUUACCAUCACUG
rnacentral:lncRNA from 1 species